UAUAAAAUACGAAUAAUUUUUGCGUUACGUGAGGCGUGAUGAAUAAUUGAAGUAUUAAAAGUAAGCAAUUUAAAAAGUUUAAGAUGUCACUCCAAUACACCGCGGUUCUUGCCUUCUGGGUACAGUCCAGAAUCCCAGAUAGAAAUUUAUAGGUAAAAAGGGGUUGAUUGAUUCUCUCUUCCCUUCUCGCUCCGCUCGAUCUCUGUCACUCGGCUACUCUAACCUCAGUGGCCAUCCCCACUCCAACCAGAUUAUAAAUGCUCUUCAUCACUGGCUUCUGGUGGUGAUCCAUGGAUGUUCUCUGACGGACUGAUGCUGUGAUUCUUAAUAUUCAUAUGUCUCUAGCUUCAGUCUGAAUAUUUUCAAUCUAUUCUCCUCAUGUUAUUGGAGUCUACAGACAAGUUUUAGCUGACUCUGGUGAUUCAUGCUCAUCAUUCCAUAUAAUUUACUUCCGUUCCACGCCUCUGGGAUUUGGGGGCUUCAGUUACAGUUGCUGAAGCAGAAGAUCCUCAAAUGGGAGACCAACCCACAUCAAAUUCCAUGAUUGAAUUGCAAGGGGAUGAGUUUUGGCCGCUCUCAGAGAAACCCUUUUUUGAAGUCGUUAUCACAAAAGCAAAUGUCAAGCCCUCUUAUCAAAUGGUGAUCCCGGCCAAAUUUCAACAAACACUACCUUCCUGUUCAAUUCCUACUGUUCUCACGUUUGGAGGCAAAAACUGGGAGAUGACAUAUACACACGGCUCUGGUCAGAGAAAGUUUGAUACUAACUGGAGAGAAUUUGUCAACGACAACAAUUUGAAGGUUGGAGAUGCAUGUGUAUUCGAACUCCUGGAGUGCAGCAGCACAAAACUCGUAUUCAGAGUCCAAAUUCUCAGAGGUGACAUCCCAUCUGAACUUCUAGGCAAGCUGAAAGGUGAGACUGUAGAUGCACCCAUAAUUAUUGAUUAGUAUAUUCUAUAUUGCCUGCCUUUUCAUCGAUGCUCUCAUUCUCCUGAAUGACAUUAACAUCAGGAGCUAAUAUAAUUUGAAUAUGCGGAACUCCAGCAGAUCUUGUUAAGGAUGCUACAUCUGUAUACUGCUGAGUCCCUUAUGUUGUUCCAGUCUAGGCGUUAUGGUGUAAUCUGAUAUGAUAUUUUAUGUAUGAGAAUCUAUUGUAUGCACAUUCGGAUACAUUGGAAAGAAUGUUAUCUAGUAAAGUACUUAAUUUCUCAGAGGCCUCCUUGAGGUUUCUGUAA